rnacentral:tRNA from 9 species
GCCCCGUUCGUCUAGAGGCCUAGGACGCCGGCCUCUCACGCCGGUAACACGGGUUCGAAUCCCGUACGGGGUACCA